rnacentral:rRNA from 1 species
UACGGGGGGGGCAAGCGUUGUUCGGAAUUACUGGGCGUAAAGGGUUCGUAGGUGGCUUGCUAAGUCAGACGUGAAAUCCCUCAGCUUAACUGGGGAACUGCGUCUGAUACUGGCGAGCUUGAGUGCAGGAGAGGAACGCAGAAUUCCAGGUGUAGCGGUGAAAUGCGUAGAUAUCUGGAGGAAUACCGGUGGCGAAGGCGGCGUCCUGGACUGCAACUGACACUGAUGAACGAAAGCCAGGGGAGCAAACGGG